AGGACGAACGCUGGCGGCGUGCUUAACACAUGCAAGUCGAGCGGAAAGGCCCUUCGGGGUACCCGAGCGGCGAACGGGUGAGUAACACGUGAGUAACCUGCCCCUAGCUCUGGGAUAGCUCCGGGAAACCGGGAUUAAUACCAGAUACGACCACUUUAGACAUCUGUCGUGGUGGAAAGGAUUCCGGCUAGGGAUGGGCUCGCGGCCUAUCAGCUUGUUGGUGGGGUAACGCCUACCAAGGCGACGACGGGUAG
rnacentral:rRNA from 1 species